GCUGAGUCAGCAAUUCAUGAGCAAGUUAAAAGGGAAGUGCUGGAUAGUGGUGAGGCAAAAGCAGAGCCAUUACCUCAGUUAACCCAGUCACAACUGGUGGAUUGCUUUGACAUUGAACAAUCUGCUGAAGCUUCUUCAAUAUCUUCACAAACAGUGCGCCCCAGUCAUCCUUCAUUCCCCGAGCUUUUAUCACAGAGCAACCAAGAUAGUUUGUCAUCUUUGUACAAAAAAGACGAAGAGAUAGCAUCUAAAGUACCAGAUACAGAGAGAUUGAUAGAUGAAGAUACAGCUAAAGAGGUGCUGUUACCUCAAUUUGAAGAGGCACGCCUCUCCAAUCAUGUUGACAUAGUAGGAGCCCUCGAUGCGUCUUCAGUACCAUUUAUAGCAAACGUUCCUAGUCAAUCUCCG
rnacentral:misc_RNA from 1 species